rnacentral:rRNA from 1 species
GAUGAACGCUAGCGGCAGGCCUAAUACAUGCAAGUCGAACGAUAGUCUUGUCUUCGGAUGAGAUGAGAGUGGCGCACGGGUGAGUAACGCGUACACGACCUACCUUACAGAGGGGGAUAGCCUUGGGAAACUGGGAGUAAUCCGCCAUAGUGUAUAUGAUCUGCAUGGAUGGUAUACUAAAGCUUCGGCGCUGUAAGAUGGGUGUGCGUCUGAUUAGGUAGUUGGUAGGGUAACGGCCUACCAAGCCAACGAUCAGUAGGGGGCGUGAGAGCGUGGUCCCCCACACGGGUACUGAGACACGGACCCGACUCCUACGGGAGGCAGCAGUAAGGAAUAUUGGUCAAUGGAGGAAACUCUGAACCAGCUAUCCCGCGUGAAGGAUGAAGGGGCUCUGCCUUGUAAACUUCUUUUGGAUGGGGCGAAAAAACGGGAUUUAUCCUGGACUGACGGUACCAUCAGAAUAAGCACCGGCUAACUCCGUGCCAGCAGCC